AUCCCCAAGGGGCAACCUCCGGUCUCGAAAAACGAAGCCAAUGCGGAAGUACAAAAAACUGCAGUUCCUCGAGGUUCCGCUUGAGGCUGGCUGCAGAAGCGCCGGAAGUGCCAUAAGCCCACAGCCAAAAAAAGCCCGUUUUUACCACAGGAAUCAACAUGUUUACAGCCUGGUUGAAAAAACAAGAUAUAUCUGAUAAGUUGACGGCCCCUUCUCCUCACACUGUGGGGGGGGGGGGGGGUGAAUUUUUUUAUAACUCAUCGGAUUUUAUUCUAUUAAGGAAAACGGCUAUGCCCAUAUAAGGGUUGUGGCAGAUUUGAUUGACAGCUCUGCGCGCUGCAUCUGUCUGUCAGUUCAGCAGGUCAGGAGGCUAACAGCUUGAUCCGUCUGAUUUCUCUUCUUUUUUACUUCGUUUGGAGAGUUUGUUUAACACAUAUCUGACAACAUAUAUGGCUUGCUGUGCGGUUAACAGACCAUCCAAGAAGUGGAUGCUUCAGUUUUUUUCGACCCCUCACUAAAAGUUCACGUUCUCCUGGAUCCAUGUCACAUGCUCAAGCUUCUUCAGAAUGACUUUUCAACAGUCGAAGUUCUGGUGAGAGAAGAUGGCCAGCAGAUAAGACAGCAGUACAUGAAGGAGCUCCACAAGCUUCAGGAGGAGGAGGGUUUGCACCUUGGAAGACUGUAUUCAUGCUUCAGCUGUUCAAAUAAAAAUAGAUCUCCUCCAAACAACU